rnacentral:rRNA from 1 species
AUUGAACGCUGGCGGCAGGCCUAACACAUGCAAGUCGAACGAGUGGCGGACGGGUGAGUAAUGUCUGGGAAACUGACUGAUGGAGGGGGAUAACUACUGGAAACGGUAGCUAAUACCGACUAACAUCGGAUUUGCCCAGAUGGGAUUAGCAAGUAGGUGGGGUAAAGGCUCACCUAGGCGCCGAUCCAUAGCUGGUCUUAGAGGAUGACCAGCCAGACUGGAACUGAGGAACGUUCCAGACUCCUGCGGGAGGCAGCAGGGGGGAAUAUUGCACAAUGGGCUCAAGCCUGAUGCAGCGAUGCCGCGUGUAUGAAGAAGUCCUUCGGGUUGUAAAGUACUUUCAGCGGGGAGGCGUUACCCGCAUAAGAAGCACCGGCUAACUCCGUGCCAGCAGCCGCGGUAAGAC